UGUGCGCUUGCGCCAGCGUCUCUGGCUCCGGGGCCCGGCGGCCGCGGCUCUUUUGUUUCCCUGCUGGAGCCCGAGCCGGAUCCCAAGCUAGGGUCGGAGGCCGGGUCAAGACCGGGUUGGAGUCGGAUCGCGUCGGCAUCCCAGACUGCCCGAUGGGGCGCGCCCCCUGCCCACUGCCCUCGGUCCGUGCCGUCGCCUGAGCCCCGGCCUGCCUGGCCCGGCCCGGCCCGCGCCAUGGAGCCCGGCCGCGGCGGCCUGGAGGUCGUGGGCAAGUUCGAGUUCUCGCGCAAGGACUUGAUUGGGCACGGCGCCUUCGCCGUGGUCUUCAAGGGGCGCCACCGCGAGAAACAUGACCUGGAGGUCGCUGUCAAGUGCAUUAACAAGAAGAACCUCGCCAAGUCUCAGACUCUGCUGGGGAAGGAAAUCAAGAUCCUCAAGGAACUGAAACAUGAAAACAUCGUGGCUUUGUAUGACUUCCAGGAAAUGGCCAAUUCCGUCUAUCUGGUCAUGGAGUACUGUAACGGCGGGGAUCUGGCCGACUACCUGCACACCAUGCGGACGCUGAGCGAGGACACCAUCCGGCUCUUCCUACAGCAGAUUGCAGGCGCCAUGCGGCUCCUGCACAGCAAAGGCAUCAUCCACCGGGACCUGAAGCCCCAGAACAUCCUACUGUCCAACCCCGGUGGGCGCCGUGCCAACCCCAACAACAUCCGGGUCAAGAUUGCUGACUUCGGCUUCGCCCGCUACCUGCAGAGCAACAUGAUGGCAGCCACACUCUGCGGCUCCCCCAUGUACAUGGCCCCGGAGGUCAUCAUGUCUCAGCACUACGAUGGGAAGGCGGAUCUGUGGAGCAUCGGCACCAUCGUCUACCAGUGCCUGACGGGGAAGGCGCCCUUCCAGGCCAGCAGCCCCCAGGACCUCCGCCUCUUCUACGAGAAGAACAAGACGCUCGUCCCCACCAUCCCCCGGGAGACCUCGGCCCCGCUGAGACAGCUGCUCCUGGCCCUGCUUCAGCGCAACCACAAAGACCGCAUGGACUUUGAUGAGUUUUUCCAUCACCCCUUCCUUGAUGCCAGUGCCGCUGUGAAGAAGUCGCCACCUGUGCCUGUGCCCUCGUACCCAAGCUCGGGGUCCGGCAGCAGUUCCAGCAGCAGCUCCACCUCACACCUGGCCUCGCCACCGUCCCUGGGAGAGAUGCAGCAGCAGCUCCAGAAGACCCUGACCUCCCCAGCCGACGCCGCCGGCUUCCUGCAGGGCUCCCGGGACUCAGGCGGCAGCAGCAAGGACUCAUCCUGUGACACCGACGACUUUGUCAUGGUCCCAGCCCAGUUUCCAGGUGACCUGGUAGCUGAUGCAGCUUGUGCCAAGCCCCCACCGGACAGCCUGAUGUGCAGCGGGAGCUCACUGGCGGCCUCAGCUGGCCCAGAGAGCCGUGGCCGGACCCCAUCUCCUUCCCCGCCCUGCAGCAGCUCCCUCAGCCCCUCAGGCCGGGCCGGUGCAUUCUCCAGCAGCAGGUGUGGUGCCUCUGUCCCCAUCCCAGUCCCCACUCAGGUGCAGAACUACCAGCGCAUUGAGCAGAACCUUCAGUCACCCACCCAGUACCAGACCGCACGGUCCUCUGCCAUCCGCAGGUCGGGCAGCACCAGCCCGCUGGGCUUUGCACGGGCCAGCCCAUCGCCCCCAUCUCAUGCCGAGCAUGGAGCUGCCUUGGCCAGGAAGCUCUCCCUGGGUGGAGGCCGGCCUUACACACCAUCUCCCCAAGUCGGAACCAUCCCUGAGCGGCCAGGCUGGAGUGGGGCGCCCUCCCCACAAGCAGCUGAGAUGCGGGGUGGCAGGUCCCCUCGACCAGGCUCCUCUGCGCCAGAACACUCUCCCCACACUGCUGGACUGGGCUGCCGCCUGCACAGCGCCCCCAACCUCUCCGACCUACAUGUCGUCCGUCCCAAGCUGCCCAAGCCCCCCACGGACCCGCUGGGAGUGGCAUUUGGCCACCCGCAGGCCAGCCCCCCGCAGCCCUCCCAUGGGCUACAGUCCUGCCGGCCCUUGCGUGGUUCACCCAAGCUGCCUGACUUCCUGCAACGGAACCCCCUGCCUCCUAUUCUGGGCUCCCCUACCAAGGCUAUGCCUGCAUUCGACUUCACCAAGACCCCCAGCUCCCAGAACUUGCUGACCUUCCUGGCCCGGCAGGGAGUGGUCAUGACGCCGCCUCGGAACCGGACGCUGCCCGACCUCUCCGAGGCGGGGCCCUUCCAGGGGCAGCCAGUGGGCCCUGGCCUACGGCCCACUGAGGACACCAAGGGCCCCUUUGGCAGGUCCCUCAGCACUGGCCGGCUCACUGAUCUACUCCUUAAGGCUGCAUUUGGGACGCAGGCCCCUGACUCAGGCAGCACGGACAGCCUGCAGGAAAAGCCCAUGGAGAUCGCACCCUCUGCUGGCUUCGGAGGGAACCUGCACCCAGGAGCCCGUGCUGCGGGGGCCAGCAGCCCUUCCCCCGUGGUGUUCACCGUGGGCUCGCCCCCCAGCGGGACCACGCCACCCCAGGGCCCCCGCACCACCAUGUUCUCAGUGGGCUCCUCCAGCUCCCUCAGCUCAGCUGGCUCCUCCUCUGCCCGCCACCUGGCGCCUGGGGCCUACAGUGAGGCCACUCUCGAGGUCCCAGCCCCUGGCCACUGCUGCAGCUUCGCUGACCCUGUCACUGCCAACCUGGAGGGGGCCGUGACCUUCGAGGCCCCUGAUCUUCCCGAGGAGACUCUCAUGGAGGUGAGGGCUGUGCUGGGGGCGGGCAUGAGGCUGGAGCACACGUGCCUGCGGGCAGGGGUUGGUCCCAGGAGUGUUGAGGUCUGUCCCCUUCAGCACUGGCCCCCUGCUGCCCUGUUCCCACAGCAAGAGCACACGGAGAUCCUGCACAGCCUGCGCUUCACACUCGUCUUCGUCCAGCACGUCCUGGAGAUUGCGGCCCUGAAGGGCAGUGCCAGUGAGGCAGCUGGGGGGCCUGAGUACCAGCUGCAGGAGAGCGUGGUGGCCGACCAGAUCAGCCUGCUGAGCCGCGAGUGGGGGUGGGUGCACCAGUGGGCCUGGUGGGGAGGCAGCCUGGGGUGUGGGGUCCCCAAGGCGCCUGAUGCCUACUUGCUGCCCCCCAGCUUCGCAGAGCAGCUGGUGCUCUACCUAAAGGUGGCUGAGCUCCUCUCCUCGGGCCUGCAGACCGCCAUUGACCAGAUCCGGGCUGGCAAGCUCUGCCUGUCCUCCACCGUGAAGCACGUGGUUCGGAAGCUGAACGAGCUCUAUAAGACCAGCGUGGUGUCCUGCCAAGGCCUGAGCCUGCGGCUGCAGCGCUUCUUCCUGGACAAGCAGCGACUCCUGGACCGCAUCCAGAGCGUCACGGCAGAGAAGCUCAUCUUCAGCCAUGCAGUGCAGACGGUAUCAUGGGCGGGACCACAGGGCUGGUGGGGAGAGUGGCCAAGGAGCAGGCAGGAGUGGUCGAUGGCCUCAGCUGUGCCACAUUUCAGGGGAUCACUCCCAGGUGGAGAACUGCACCACGCUGUCCCCUUAGCCACAGGUGACACACCGGCCCUUCUAGGCCCCAGCAGGGAGCCAGGAGCUUCCCCUGGGUUUCAUUCUCACUGUGUGGGCUCCACAGCACAGGCGGCGCCCCUGGCCACAUUCCUCCCUGAAACUCAGUUUCCUUACGUGUAAACAAAAGACCUGGUUUUCAAGCCUCUCAGCAGGCGAAUUGGCCUCCAGAAGAAACCGAUGCAGGCAGCUUAGCUCAGAACACACAGCUUAAACACAGUAGGGAGUUUGGGGGUCUCUGCUCAGUGCUCUGUGUCUGUUGCUUUGGGGUCAUUGUGCCCAAAAAGAUCUACUUUGGAGGCAAUGUCUUUUUUCAAGAAAAUUCACCUGUGUGGUAAAAAGGUACAGUCUGCAGAGUUCCCUGGUGGUUUGGCAGGUUAAGGAUCUACCUGGCAUCGUCACUGCUGUGGUGCAGGUUCCAUCGCUGGCCCAGGAACUUCCGCAUGCCACAGGCAUGACCGAAAAAACACAAUCUUGGGGAGUUCCCAUUGUGGCUCAGUGGUAAGGAACCUGACCAGUAUCAAUGAAGAUAUGGGCUUGAUCCUUGGUCUAGCUCAGUGGGUUAAAGAUCUGGCAUUGCCCUGAGCUGUGGUGUAGGUCACAGACACGUCUUGGUGCUGUGGCUAUGGUGUAGGCUGGCAGUAGCUGAUUCAGCCACUAGCCUGGGAACUUGCAUAUGGUAUCUGCAGGUUCAGCCCUAAAAAAAAAAAUUAAGGAAAAAACCACAAUCUGAACAAAAGUAGAAGAAAAGCCUGCCUCCUUAUCACCAAGCUCCCCCUCUCCUAUAGGUGACCCCUUUAUCAAGUGACUUAGGAACACUCUGUUAGCCGGGUCGGGGAUGCUGACCCACCCGGGGUGGAGCUAAUCUGAUCUGUAAACCCCUGCCUGCCUGAGGCCCAUGAGCAUCCGUUUAGACCCUCACCUACACAGGGGCCCCCACACCACACUGCCCCCAUCACUUGCGCCCUCCACGUAGGGUCGGUCAGCCCUGGGUCCCCCAUCCCCAGUGAUGGGGGUGGCCGGGGCCCAGCCUCCACCCUUGCCCGGCAGGUACAGUCGGCCGCCCUGGAUGAGAUGUUCCACCGUCGGGAGGACUGUGUCCAGCGCUACCACAAGGCCCUGCUGCUCAUGGAGGGGCUGCAGCAGAUCCUCACAGACCAGGCGGACGUGGAGAACAUCGCCAAGUGCAAGCUGUGCAUCGAGCGAAGGCUCUCGGCCCUGCUGAGUGGCAUCUGUGCCUGACCACCCGGAGGCCUGGCCCACUAUGCCCGUGGGGCUGAACCAUCUCUGCUGAUCCUGCGGGGGAGGGGGCAGUGUGCUGGCUGGGCUUCAAGGGACAAGCCUGUGGCCUUGACACUGCUUGCUGGAGCCAGGAAAAGGACUGUGGCUUCCCAUUCAGCGUCCAGAGCUAGGCCUUGAGCUGCAUCUUCAUCACCUGGACUCUGCAGCCGUGGACUUCAGGGCACUGGAGGGCCCUGCACAGAACCUCCACCCAGGCCAGUCCCCUGGCCUUGCUCACAGGCAGAACUCCCAGCCCAGCCAGUCAUCAGAAUUUCUCUCCCGGCUGCCUCCAUGGCAGGUGGGGAUGCACAGGCAGCUCCUGACCCCACCUAGACCCCAGGGUCAUCACGCUGAGGACAAGCCAAGGCCUGGAGACCAUGAUGCCCACUCAAGCCAAAGCCGCCAGGCCUGCCCAGUGGAUCCACCCAGGAAAAGGUGUGUCCUCCUGGCUCCCACCUGACCCUUCCCCAGACCACCCCUAGCUUUGUGAGUCACCCAGCACUUUAUGCAGAUGGACUGGCCCCGGUCCCAGCUGUUGCACUACAAGGCGCGUGUACAUAUCCAUAUCCACACACAUACAGAAGUAGCCCCAUGAGCGCGUGCGCUGUGCCUGCCAGCCCGGACCCCCCGGGAGACACAGCCGUCUUAUUUAAAUGUUCUUUUAGGGACGGACAGUAUGAAGCACCGAGCUUCCUAAAACCCAGCACAGACGUUACAGUCUUUCUCACUUUACUCCUAAAACGUGUCUUAUUUUCUUCAGCUUUUUUGUUUUUUAAAGAAGAAAACUCAAAACAAGUUGAGGACGUUUAUUUUGAAAUGGUGGGGGGCAGGACAGGGGUGGCCUCAGCGUCGAUGCUGAGACCUGGGCGGGGCGGGGAGCCCUCCCGCUCCCUGCCCCCACCCCGAGCCGCUCCCUGCCCGAAGACAGUGGGCAGGUGAGCAGCACCGUGUUUGUGCAAAGCUCCCCCGUCCAGUUUUCACAGUAGGUUUUGAUGUCAACCCCCCUCCCCCACCCAGCCAGGUCCUGGCUGCUGCAGGGGGUGGUCCACCUUCCAGGCUCAGGGGGGCCUUUCCUGGUCUGCCCAGCUCCUCCCAGAGUGUCCCUCAAAUGCAGAGGGAGCCGUGCCAGCCCAGGCACCCAUGGCAAGGGCUUCGAGGUCUCCACACAGACCCGGGCGGAGACCCUCUCGUGUUUCUCUCUUGCGAUACUUGAAAUCUCGCCACUGUGCUUGGACGUAGAAGAAGAGGAGCAGCCCUGGGAGUCGUGUCUGUCUCAUCACCCGUGACUUAAGUUUCUCCCUACUGCGCAGAAUGUGUUCGUAUUUAUUGCUUUAUGGUCGGCCGGAAUCCAGGGCCACCGGGAGGCUGGCGCCAUGGGAGGGGCCUCUGGCAGCUGCCCAUCCCGCUGCCUGCUUCCUGGGGUGCGGUGUGCGUGCUGCCAGCCCAUCCUGUUCUCCGCAGCACGGCUCUGGACCCUCGGUCUACUUUAAUAGAAGUUUUGUGUGCUCUCCCUCUCUUUGCGUUAAAUUGUGUAACAACAAUUUAAGGAAAUAAAACCUCUGGAAUUGUUGA